UGAAGACAAGAUCUUCCCCCUCGGAGAAGGAGCUGUCAGUUUUGCAAGUUUAAGGAGAUACUUGGAGUAGAGGGUCAGCGGGAGUCUGUGACGGGCCGAGAAGAGGGGUUCGCUUCUGUUCCCUAAGUCACAGUGUCACAGUGCGAGGUGCCGGUGCCUGAUGAGCUGCUGCAAAUACAGCAAAUAACAAAUGGGAAAGGGGAACCUUCCAGAGAAAACCUAUCACCUUGAGACAUAUACAAUUAACUCCUAGAAAAGCCUGGAAAAGUGAGGCGCAGGAAGGAUUAAAAAAACAGGUCAGAAGCCUUUGCCAAGGCCUGGUUCUGGAACAACAAAAUAAUAGAGGAUCUGAAAGAGCCCCAAAAGAGAUCCCUGGAGAAAACCAUCACUGAUGCUGGAAGAUGGCAGCAGUUCACAGUGUCACAAGAGCAGAGCCAGGACACACUGAUUCCAUGCAGGGAGAGCAGGAGUAGCAGCAGAAAG